AGGUCAGCGCAAGGUGAUCCUGAGGAGAUAGGCGGCGCUCGGGGGGCGCCCUCGUUCCUCUUAUCGCGCCUUUGUCCCUCCCUCCGUUCCUUGCCCCGCACCCUCACUUUCGCCGCCCUGUGCGUUGCCUGUCCCGGAACUGGUUCCCUCAAGCCGCCCUCACCUGUUCUGACUUCCCCUCGAGGCACAAUAGCCUGAGAGAUCAGACGUGGGAGAUUAGAUUGCUCGGCGUCAGACCUACUUCUAGGCAACCCCCCCUAGACUGGAGCUGCUCGUCGUGGACAUUAGGAUCUAGUUGGGCAUGAGCCCUUAACUUAAGGGUCGGGGGGGAAGUGGCGGGUGCGGAGAGGAGGCGUGGAGAGUGUGAGGAAGAAGAGAGGCACUCUGAGAAGAAGUCGAACAACUAACCCCUCAUUUGGCCUGGUUUGGGUGAGAAGAUUGAGUCACUUGGGGAAAAAAAUAUUGGAGAAGUCAGAGAAGGUGUAAAUCAGUGGUGCCACAAACACCAGUUUACUUCCACUUUUCACCCCCCGGGUCUGUUUUGUCUGCGUGCAGCUCUCCUCGUGUCGGAGACGCUGAGUCAGUUCUCUACUGGUCUUGCCCUCUUCCGGAAAAAGAAAACACACCUGAGAAGUGGUAGUUCCUAUCCUAACCUACUGGGGCCCUUUAUACCAGGUGCCAAACUUCAUUAUCCACCCCACCACCUUGCCCGGGAGGGAGAUCUGUGAAAGCGAAACGUGAUUUAAGCUGGGAUCUGGCAGCAACUUCGUGGACUCUGAAGGGCACGUGGGAAAGGAGUUUUGAUUGAAGGUGAGGGAUUUAGUGAGGUAAAAUUAUAUCCAAAUUAGAGUUUGGUAAAGGCUUCCAGGUUAAUGUCCUGUUAACGCUUAUCCUGAUUUGUGGAGGACACUUAAGCUGUCUAGGCCUAACCUUGUGUUUGAUCACUCACCUUAAUUUGUAGACAUUCUAGGAGCUCUUUGUCAAUGCCUCUUACCAUUUUUAUCAUUAACUAUUUAUGCUUAUAGAAGCAGGAAAAAUAAAUUGUGGGAGCCUUCAUCUGCAAUAGGUUUACAACUUUUUUUCUAAAAUCUUGAGGCAAGGAGACUUAUUCCCCCGCCCCUUUUUUUCUCACAGAUUUCUUGUAUGUCUCCCUCGCCCCGCCCGCACCCCGUCCCCCCGCCCCCGGACAAUUAAUUGUAGGAGGAAACAAGAACUAAGAUGUCUAUUCGAGUGAUUUUUUAUAUCUUUCUUAAGGAGAAAAAGACUGACAUUUGACACUGUGCUCUUGUUUUGUCUUGCUGAUAAUAACUGACAGCAAUGUUUACUUUUCUUACAAAUGAAACUAUCAGGGUACGUACUUUUAAGCUCUUUAAUACAAUGGGUUUCAUCCUUCCAGUGGGAGAGUAUGAAUUGCCCACUCUGCGUAGACACAUGACUGCUGGCCUGUUGGACACAUGGUCACACUUGCUAUACUCUAAAUAGUGUCUUUGUGACCUGAAACAGUCAACACUUUUCUUAAAGCUACAGUGUGCCCACACUCAUUGUAUUUUUGCUUUGUAUGGAAUUUCAAAUUUACUUAUUACCUUCUCUAUGAAUAAUAGCAUAACUUAUGCAUUCCAUUUAUGCCUUUCAGGGAACCUGAUGGUUAAUUUCUACCUCUUAAAGUAACACAUUAUGUUGUAAGAUUUUGCUCUUAAUAUAGCAGUCCCCCUUAUCCUUGGUUUCACUUUCCAAGAUUUUGUCAACCAUGGCCCAAAAAUGUUACAUCACUACUCUUGCAUUUGGGGGGUAUUAUUACAUAAAAUGAUAGUUAUAUGAACACAAGCACUGUCACACUGCAACAGUCUGACAACCCAGACAGCAACUGGCUAAUGGCAAUCUGGGCAGGGACAGAGCAGACUGUGCUCCUCAGAAUGGUGCACAAUUUAAAACUUAUGAAUCGUUUAUUUCUGGAAUUUGCUAUUUAUGUCACAAUACUUAUGUCAUUCACCUCACUUCAUCUCAUCAUGUAGGUAUUUUAUCAUCUCACAUCACAAGAAGGAGAAGGGUGAGUUCAGUACACUAAGAUGCUUUGAGAGGGAGACCAUACAUAACUUUUAUUACAGUACACUCUUAAAAUUGUUUUAUUUUAUUAUUAUUAUUUUUUGAGACAGAGCUUCUUGUCUCCCAACCAGGACUAUAAUGGCACAAUCUCAGUUCACUGCAACCUCCGCCUCCAGGUUUCAAGUGAUUCUUCUGCCUCAGCCUCCCGAGUAGCUGGGAUUACAGGUGCCCGCCACCACGCCUGGCUAAUUUUUGUAUUUUUAGUAGAGGUAGGGUUUUGCUGUGUUGGCCAGGCUGGUCUCGAACUCCUGACCCCAGGUGAUCUGCCCACCUCGGCCUCCCAAAGUGCUGGGAUUACAGGCAUGAGCCAUGGCGCCCAGCCUGUUCUAUUUUAUUAUUAUUGUUGUUAAUAUCUUACUGUGCCUAAUUUAUAAGUGAAACUUUAUCAUAGGUAUGUAUGUAUAGGAAAAAACAUAGUGCAUUUAGAGUUCAAUACUAAGGUUUCAGGCAUCCACUGAGUGUCUUGGAACACAUCCACCAGGCAUAAGGGGGUGGGGGUGACUACUAUACUUAGGUAAGAUUUAUUUGGAGAGUGCUUAAUAAAAAUUAUGAAUUUCUUG
rnacentral:lncRNA from 1 species